GGUGAAAAUUUGGUUUCAGAAUAAAAGGUCCAAGUACAAGAAGGUAAUGAAACACGGUCCAAGUGUGCAAGAUGUUGACCUGACACACACCACGUCUUCGCUUUCUCCUUCUUCUCCAAACAUGCCUCCCAUGUGGGAUGUUCUCCCGGGUGGAAAAACUGCACAAAUUUCUUCCAGUUACUUGAACAAUUUUAACCCCUGGUACCAGCCACAUGACACAUUAUCGAGGCCACCAAUUAUGUAGCUUAAAGGACUUAGGUCUUUUAAGCUGAGAUGAUUAAAAAGAAGCCCAUAUGAUUAAGAGCUUUCUCUGACCUACCAAACUUGCCUUCUUCUUAAAGUCCUCCGUCUGAAGAAAUAAAACCUGGGAAAUAUCGAUGCAUAGACAAUGGCUUUUCUAUAAGCCGGUUCUCAUGAAAAUGGAGAUAAUUGAUGAACCAUGAUAUUUUUCUAUUUAUUCAUUAGAAAUGUUUUUACUGAUCUGUUACAGCUCAUGUCUUAAUUACAGAAGAUCAAAUUAUUAUCCAAUUGUAUACAUUUGAUUAUCUUCGUCAAUAUUUCACUGGCCACAUAUUAUUUAAAAGUUAACAUAAGCACAUCAAUGUAUUUUGGUAGUGCCUUCAGUUUCCUUCAAAGAACAUUGAGUUGAUAGACACAAAUAUACCAAAAGAAACUUCAUCUGUAGGUUUGAUUUGUCUUGAAUUUCAUAAUAGAAAUGAAUUAAGGAAGUAAUUAAUUAUAGACGAUAAGAAGAGCAUGUCUGGUAGCUGUAAAACUUAAAAAUCAAGAAGAUUAGAAAAGGAGACAGAACAUUUAUUUUUGGCCUUUUGAACCAAAGGACAUACCCUUAAGAGUAAUGAAUGCAGAUUUUUGUUUAAUCAAGGAUUUUGUAAACUAUCCCAUGUAGAAACUGGAUUUUUGUUAAAAACAAAUAGGACUGUAUUAAUUUUAUAGUUUAUGAAAGCAUGGUCAUAUGCUUCUCAUCUCUGUCGUUAUUUUAUUUUAAAAAAUGAGUUUGGCAUGGUGUGCCUUUAAAUCACGUGCAUUAUUAAGAACCCACCACUCAAGAACACAUUACACAUGUUCUAUGAUCACAGAGACCGGACAGUUUUAAAGAAAAUCGACAUCACAGAGAUAUGAUGAGAUUUUGCCUGCAUUCCAUAAGUAUGUGAUGAAGAUCCUUUCCAUCUCUCCUUGCCUUGCAAUAGAUUACCGAAAACCGCCAAUGCUGAUGUGAAUUUGUGAAAUAUUAAUAUGCUAAAUAGAAUAUUAAAUUGUUGAACAUUAUGGAAAAAAAAAAAGUUUCACACAAAUGAUGCAAUAAACAAUUAUUUUCCAUUUUAACAUUUUUUUCUAAAUUUAUAUUAGAACUCUUAUUGAGCCAUGAGGAAGGACUUGUAGAAACCCAAUACUGCUGUAGAAAAUUGCACUAUUUCUUCACGUAUUUUCAACUUAAAGCUCAGAAAAAGAGAGAUGUUCCAGGAAAAGUAAACUGGCAGGCAUUUCCACUAAAGUGUGAAUUGUCAAGAAUUCAAACUGAAUUUCGAAUUUUAGGCGCAAUAGGCACUGGAAGCAUCAUCUCCAUUGGACAUGGAGAAUAUGGUCCGGUCUGCUAUUUGGCUUUAAAGGAGGUACUGAAGGUACCACUUGAUCUUAGUGAAGUGGUCUGGGUGCAGUGGCUCUUAAUUUUAACCCUGCAAUGUAAAAAGACUUCCUGGCAACCACUAGGGUCUCUUCAAUGUUUUCAUAGAGCAUUUGAUUGGCACAGAAUGUAGAUUUACCGCAAAUGAGCAUGGGCCUCCUAAUGCUUCCCUGUGGGGAAGCAUCGGAUUGGCUGAGAUCAUCACUCUUCCUCAUUUUAGCCAGGGAGGCGGAGCAGCUGCAACAAGUAUAGUAAUCUCACUUUUCAAACCCUCAUGGGGGCGCAGGGAGAAACCUAAAAAGGCAGUGGAACAUUAUCAUAUAAGGGAUAAAUGUUUUUAUUCCUGAAGCUAUAGUGUUCCUUUAAGUUUGAAUAUACCAACAAUGUGUAAUUUAAUGAAUAGCCUGUUAGUCUAAGAUCGCAAUUAUGCAUUUUAUUCAUUUACACAUGCGAUAACUGGGAAAAAGGAUGUUUUAUCUGAUAUCAAAUCAUUGCAUUAUAAAAAUAGGUAUCAAAUAAUAUACACCUGUCAAACCAAAAAUAAUGUUUACAAAAUUUGGGGAGAUAAAUCCUUUCAAAACAAUCCUUUGUAGGUGGACAUUAAAAAAAUGUGCAUUUUUUAAAAUUUUUAUUAUUUUGUAUUAAUUUAACCAGUUUUUAAACUUGUUAUCACUAUUUCAAAGCCUCUUAUUUAUGAAUAAAGUUGCUGUUAUUGUGUAUACAACAGCAGCAACAUUUCUCGCACUGUAUUUCUAGAGCGUAUCAUUUUCUGGGAGUUAUUUUGUUUUUUCUUUGUAAAUAUAUAUUUGUAUAGCCUUGCAAUUUAAUGUAUUUUUUUCAUUGCUUUAUAU
rnacentral:lncRNA from 1 species